rnacentral:rRNA from 1 species
AACGCGAAGAACCUUACCUGGGCUCGAACGGCUGGUCAACGCCGGUGGAAACAUCGGUACCCCGCAAGGGGGUCCAGUCGAGGUGCUGCAUGGCUGUCGUCAGCUCGUGUCGUGAGAUGUUGGGUUAAGUCCCGCAACGAGCGCAACCCUUGUCCUGUGUUGCCAUCAUUCAGUUGGGAACUCGCAGGAGACCGCCAGCGAUAAGCUGGAGGAAGGUGGGGAUGACGUCAAGUCCUCAUGGCCUUUAUGUCCAGGGCUACACACGUGCUACAAUGGCCGGUACAAAGCGCCGCAAACCCGCGAGGGGGAGCCAAUCGCAAAAAACCGGUCUCAGUUCGGAUUGCAGGCUGCAACCCGCCUGCAUGAAGCUGGAAUCGCUAGUAAUGGCAGAUCAGCACGCUGCCGUGAAUACGUUCCCGGGCCUUGUA